CAAACGGGUGAGUAACACGUAAACAACCUGCCUUCAGGAUGGGGACAACAGACGGAAACGACUGCUAAUACCGAGUAAGUUCCAAGGGCCGCAUGGCCCAUGGAAGAAAAGGUGGCCUCUACCUGUAAGCUAUCGCCUGAAGAGGGGUUUGCGUCUGAUUAGCUGGUUGGAGGGGUAACGGCCCACCAAGGCAACGAUCAGUAGGGGUUCUGAGAGGAAGGUCCCCCACAUUGGAACUGAGACACGGUCCAA
rnacentral:rRNA from 1 species